UAUUGAAGAAGUCAUUUUCGGCUCUAGGAGAAUAUUAUGUUACUUCUGAGAGAACUUAAAUAUUAAAAAUACUUAAGUAUUUUUUCUUUUAUGUCUGUCAAAAUAGGAGUGGAUUACCUUAAUCAAGUUAGACGCAAAGACUACUUGUAGCUGGACUUCAGUUUUUGUUAGGGCUAGAUAUGUCUCUAGAUGACCUUUACUCUUUGUAGAGAACCCUUCUGGUUCCAACCAGAACCCUGGGUGUUCAUUCAGGCCCCUCCUCUUUGGAGGACUCUGACCUCUAAUUUUUUUCCUUAAACUCCAUGACACUGCCAGAAGCUCUCCUGACUUCUUGGUCAUACUUUUUGCUUAAGAAAUUGACAAUGCUCUUGAGAGGAACAGGCAGCUCCAGUUGCUGGGCUCAUCUUCUUAGUUUUCUUUCUUCAGGUCAUGGCCUCACAAAUUCUUACUGUCUUGAUUGCUUUCCAAUGCUUUCAAACAUGUUUAACAAACUGUUUUUAGUAUUUCCAGUUGCUCUCAGCAGGAGGGUGAUUCUAAAACAUCUAGUUAGCCAUUGCCAGAAGUAGAACCACAGAGCAUUGGCUUUGAAAGAAGAUGGAUCCAUCUUUUAUAGCCUUGGUUUGCUCUUAAAAUGUUUUAGAAAAGACAUAUCCUGAGUUUCUUUGUGGUCUAGGUAGAGGUGAAGAAAAGUAAAACUUUCAGUGUAUUUAAAAAGUAGAAUUAACCUGUGGUUAGCUUUAGAUAGAGAUGAGAGCGGAGGAUUCAAAGCUAAUGGCCAGGAUCUGGUCUAGGCAUCUGGAUGUCCAGUCACUAGGAUAAGUAGAGGGGGAGUGACACUGGAGCCUAAAGUCACCACAGCAACAGAAUGAUAUUCACCACAACCUAGUUAUGUAAAACUCUAGACAGAGGGAAAUAAAUCCAGGCAGAUACCUUGAAAUAUGCAAUGGACCCAAAAAGAAGCUUUACCUGGAGGAAAACUUCCUGUGACUCCAGAGACCUCUUCAGUUUAGAAAGCAGGAAGUAGCUUGUAUCUGUCAGUAUGACACUUUUGAACAUUUCUGUAUUAGUUUCCUAAGGUGCUAUAACAAAGCUCCACAAACUGUGUGGCUUAAGACGACAAGAAUCUAUCCUGUCACAGUUCAGAAGGGUAGUACUGAAAUCAAGGCAUGGCUGGGCUAUGCUCACUUUAAAGGCUAAGGGAAGACCUCUUUCUUGCCUCUUCCUGGCUUUUUGUGGUUGCAGGAUUUUUGGUGGCAAGCAUCACCCUGGUCUUCACCUUUGUCCUACCUCACCUUCCUCAUGUGUCUACCUCUGUGUCUUUACGUGGCCUUAUAAGGAUACCAGUUGUGGAAGUUGGACCUCCAUCCUCCUACCCCCAAUCCAUUAUGACCUCAUCUUAAUGAAUUACAUCUGUAAAGACCCUCAUUUCCAAAUGAACUUACAUACACAAGUCCCAGGGGUUAGGACUACAAAAUACCUUUUUGACAGAUGCAACUCAACCCACAAUUUCUAGCUUAUCACUGUGUGAAACUUACUGCUCUUUGCAAAGAUUAAAUCAACAUGUGGUGCACUUAUGGAGCUGUUGCUUCUCACAAAGCACUGGGGGGGUCUAAAAGGUAGCACAGCACACAGUCUCUGUCCUAGACAACUUUACUGUCCAACUGGGGAGACAAAGAGUGAUGCAGAAUUCAGGCAGAAGAUAAGCUUUGGUUGGCCGCCUACCAUGUACCAGAUACUGCAGUGAGUGCUGUACAUAUAUUGAACCACAUAAUCAUCAGAGUAGCUUGCUAGAUUGGUGGUGUUCACCUUAUAUUACAGAUAAGGGAACUGAAGAUCAGUAGGAAUAAAUAACUAAUAUUAAGUGGUGCUAUCAGGAUUUGAAUCUAGAUUUGCUGUGUUCUAAAGCCUGUGGUUUUGGGGAAGAAACUGAAUUAUGUAAAAUAAAAUCUUAAAGCUGUUUGAAAUUAAUCCUAAGAGAGUUAGAGUGAGAGCUGGGUGUGGUAGCAUGCAAUUGUAGUCCCAGCUACUGAGGAGGCUGAAGUGGGUGGAUCCCUUGAGCCCAGGAGUUCGAGACCAACCUGUGCAAUGUAGUGAGACUGUCUCAAAACAAACAAAUGAACAAACAGGACAAGGAAGGCUUAUUGAGGAAGAAGAGAUUUGAAGAGAAAUGAUCUGAAUUGUAUUUUUAAGAAAGGGUUGGCCCGGUGGAAAAGAGUCAACAAAAUGAUUCCAGGUGAUGGGAGCUAUGUGAACCAAGGUAUGAUAAGAAAGUAUCAGAUAUAUUUAGGAGAACAUAUAUUUUAUAAUACUGCAUAUAAGAGAUGUGCUUUAUAUAAUUAUAGCCUCAUUCUUCACAUGGAGACCUUGAAGCAAGAAAACAAACAUUUUUAACUCUGCGGCUCACAUGGUAAGGUAUGGGUAAAGCUGAGCUUUCUGCCAAUUUAUCUUUUUUUCAUUCCUGUUCAGAAAUAAUUAUUUUCCAUUUAAAAAGUAAUAAUUCAAUUUCAAAAGGAUCAAAGCAUAGAGAAAAAAAUUUCACAUAUUCCUAUCAUGCAAAUAUGACUAAAGUUAACAUUUUGGUCUGUUCCUUCCAGUCUUAUAAUUUGCAUCAGUAGCACACGUAACACAUGAACCAAGUGGGUAAUCACACGUUAAGCUAAUGGGUAUGUGCGAUUUUGUGCUUCUCUAGCCUAAGCACUAAUCUGUGCCAUAAUAUGUCAUCAUUAUCUAGUUUUAAAGGGGGAAUAAUAAUCUUUUUUUUUUUUUUUUUAAUUUUUUAUUGGAUUAUAGGUUUUGGGGUACAUGAGCAGAGCAUACAAGACAGUUGCGUAGGUACACACAUGGCAGUGUGCUUUCUUUUCUUCUCCCCUUCACCCACAUUUGGCUUUUCUCCCCAGGCUAUCCCUCCCCACCUCCCCCUCCCACUGGCCCUCCCCUUUUCCCCCCAAUAGACCCCAGUGUUUAGUACUCCCCUUUCUGUGUCCAUGUGUUCUCAUUUUUCAUCACCCGCCUAUGAGUGAGAAUAUGCGGUGUUUCAUUUUCUGUUCUUGUGUCAGUUUGCUGAGGAUGAUGUUCUCCAGAUUCAUCCAUGUCCCUACAAACGACACAAACUCAUCAUUUCUGAUUGCGGGAAUAAUAUUCUAAGUGGCUAAGUACCAUAAUUUGCUGAUUUAGGGUUUGUCAUUAACAGCAAAUUUACUUAUUUAGGGUUUGUCAUUAACAGCAAAAAAUUCCUGGAUCAAAAUACAUGACCUGUGUUACAACUCCUAUUAUAUAUAUGGUUUUCUUGAAGGUCAAUAUUGAUUUUGGUGCAUAUAGACUGGGAUUCUUGGGUUGUUGUAAAAGUUCUAUAUCGUUGAACUACAGAGAGAGAGAAGGGGAUUUCUGACAAUCAGGGCCAGUAUUUCUUCACCUCUAGACCACAGCCCUAUUCUCCUGUCUGCCUGGCUUUGCAACACCACCCUGAUCCUGAGAGCUUUGUCGAUGCCAGGGGUAUUCAGAAAUGUUCGACUUGAAACCUUUCCAAGACGUUUGCUAUUUUAUUCUCUAUUUGUUUUUCUUAAGCAACUAACUAAAUAAGAAUCAUAUUUCAACCUCCUUCCACUCCCCACAGCAUUUUUUCUUCCCUGCACCACCCCUGCCUGCAGUUUAACCAUGGGGUUGCUUCUUAUAUUUUAAAGCUAAAUACAAAAGCACAGUUCUGAGAAGCAGCCAAGUUCUGCAGCCAAGUUGGAAGAAUAGAACUUUAAAACGGCUCUUCUGUCACACACUUGAGAGGGGAGGCAGGCUUUGCUAUAAAUAAGUCACAUUCCAUUUCUAUCUCAUCCUUUGCAGUCCUCUUGGGUAAUCUUUUUGUAUAUGACUACAGUGUUCUCGAACUGCCCACUCACCCCUUUCAACCUUCCAUUUCAUGCCUCACUUUAUUUAAACGUUCAGUAGUUUUGGAGCCUAGGGACCCUGCAUGAAAGAGGAGUAAACCAUUCUUCAGGGUUAGAUGUAAUGAGGUUCAGUGGCUAACUUAUUAGAAACUACACUUUCUCUUUGUCUGUAACGCUUUGAGCAGCUGCCUGGAUUAGUUUCCUAUUGCUGCCAUAACAAAUUACCACAAAUUUAGUAGCUUAGCACAAAACAAAAGGCUGGGCAUAGUGGUGCAUGCCUGUGAUUCCAGCACUUCAGGAGGCUGAGAUGGGAAGAUUGCUUGAGCUCAGGAGUUCAAGACCAGCCUGGCCAACAUGGACCCCUGGGAUUACAUGGAGCCCACACACAUAAUCCAAGAGUACCUCCCCAUCUCAAAGACCUUAACUUAGUCACACCUGCAGAGUCUCUUUUGCCAAGGCAGAUAACAGGUUUGUGGGAUUAGGGUGUGGACAUCUUUGGAGGGCUGCUCUUCUACUUACCACGCUGUCUUAGGAAAGGAAAAUAAUUUUGGAAUUUUGUCUUUUUCAUAGCUAGGGAGGGGAUAUGCUGAAGUUUUGUUUUUCCUUCCUGUAUUUGUGAUGGUUGAUAUGUGGCCAUCUAAACUAAGUCUGGGAUGUGUUUGUAUUGGCUGAAGUUCAUUGGCAGGCAGAAAAGGUUCAGAGACUGGCAGUGUGGAUGGGAGGAUGGCUCAGUUAAAGACCUUCACUCCUUGCUUAGUGGUUGCUCCUUCACUCCCUGCACACUGCCUGCUCCUAUCAGGCCCCACUCAGGGCACAAACAAGCCCCUACUCUCCAGGAGAAAUUACUGAGCAGAUGCAUUCAAAAUGAACAACGGAAUGCCUUGUUUACUGUAGUCCCAUCCAGUAUGGCUUCCUUAUAGGAUUAUUUGUCUCCAAUUAUUUUACAUAUAUUUUUUUCUUUUUUGAGACAGAGUCUCACUCUGUCCCCCAGGCUGGAGUACAGCAGUGCUGUGAUCUUGGCUCACUGCAGCCUUGACCUCCAGAUUCAAGUGAUCCUCCCUUCUCAGCCUUGCCAUAGCUGUGACUAUAGGCAUGGACCACCACACCUGGCUAAUUUUUAAAGUUUUUUGUAGAAACAGGGUCUCACUGUGCUGCCCAGGCUGGCCUCAAACUCUUGGGCUUAAGUAUAUCCUCCCACUGUGGCCUCCCAGCGCUCUGAAAUUAUAGGCAUGAGCCACCAUGCUUGGCCUGUAUUUUAUUAAUUACAAUACUAAACAAUGCAAUGAGAAGGUGAAUAGAUAACCUUCUCAUGGCUGUGUAGCUGGCACAGUAGAAGACUUUAUGUGCUUUUCCUCAAACAGUGAGAGAAAGUGCUGGCAAAGCGCAUUUCCCUUGGCUUGAGAGACGUGACAAUCUACUUGUUGACUCUGCCAAGGCCUCUCUUUCCACCAUUUUCCGUGUUCUGGUCUAGAGUUGUGACAUUCAGUGGCUGACAAAAGGCACACAAGGGAUAGCGUUGGUGGCCAAUCUGCCAGGGAAGAGUCUGACCCUGGGUGCUAACAUGACUCAAGGUAGAUGAGCCCCUAUGAGGAGCUAGUCAAGGAAACAGAUGAGAAAGCCUGACUGUCAGUGAGCGAGCAGGGAGUGAGCAUGUCCUUUCUGAAGGGAGUUAUGACUGUCCUAACUUAACUAUGUUGCUGGGAAGGGAGGGGUCAGUAGUUGAAACAGAGUCUUCUGUGGGUGAUGAUAUGUUACAGCUUUAGGACAGUCGUCAGCAAAUGACUUGUCCUUGGGCCUAAUUUGUCCCCAGACCUUUGUUCCCUUGAGCCUCAGGAUGGUUUCUGCAUUUUGGAAUGGUUGAAAACUUCAAAAGAGAAGCUGUAUUUCGUGACAUGUGAAAUUUAUGUGAAAUCCAAAUUUCAGUGCCUGUAUAUCAAGUUUUAUUGAAACACAGCCACAUCAUUUGUUUAUGAAUUAUCUGUGGCUUUUUUUUUGAGCUACCACGGAGGAGUUGAGUGGUGGUGACAGAGACUGUCCGUAUGACCGGUGAAGCCUAAAAUAUUUACUAACUGGCUUUCUACAGAGAAGUUUGCAGCUUCUGUUUCAGGAGAUUUAAAAGAGACUGAAAAAGCAUCGGCAAAUGUCCUUGUUGGGACAAUAUUUCCAUAGGAACCAAGACCCAGUGAUUCCAUGUGGUGUAGAUUCAUUUCCAGGAACCCAAGGAGGGUCUAACUGGGGAGGGGGCAUACAAGAUAAAUUAGAAACCAGUGUACAUUCCUGUUCUGCAAAAAAUACACAAGACCUGCCAUUCACCCCUCAGAGAAUAUGGUUCCUUCACUGAGGGGUCACAUAAUUUCUGCCAGUACAUUGUUGAUGAUAUUUUUGUUUGUUUUUUAAAUAAAAAACAGGCAUAUUGAGCUGCUGGAAGUGUUGAGCUGGGUGUUCUGAAAUAUCCCACUAGGAUAUUCUACUUGCUGGCUGGCUACCUCCGUCUCAGAUGCAGUGUCCAAAUGGCUGUCAUUUCUGCAGGACCCACUUUGUGCCAGGCAUUGGGCCAGUGCUUUGGGCACACGAGUUGCUCACACUGGCAGCACUGCUGUAAAAUCAUUGUUAUUCUCACGCCGCAUGUGAAGAAAGGAGCUUAUGCCGGGUAAACCCGUGCCUGGGGCUCCCCUGUAAGUGGGAAUCCCGAGUAGCAGGUUAGGCUGUCUCUCCUUCACAGACCACGCUCUUUUCACAAGACCUGGAAGGAGCAAGACAACCACCUGGGGAGCUGCUUACUUCUGAUCUUUUCUCUGGGAUGCCAGAGCUAUCAACCUCAUAGGCAAGAUGCUCUAAUCACCGAGUUACCGUGUUCUGGGAUAAUAUCAACUUCCAUUUUAUAGUUUCUUCUAGCACUUUCCAUCCUGUAUGCUAUAUUUGUAAAAGGCCUGUGAAAAGCAUAAGGCAGACAUAAUCCAUCUUUGCUUUGUAAAUGAGGAAACUAAAGCUCAGAGGCCUGUCUAGGCUCAACCAGCUUUUAGGGGCAGAGCCAGACCUCCUGACCUGGGCUCUGGUGCCUAUACACUACUUCCCAUGGGCCAGGCCUUCAGGAAUGGAGCUGCAUCAUGCACACUUACCGUAAAAGAGCCUGUGAUAGACCCUCAGCAGUAUGGUUAUUAAGUUUAUCCUCAGUGAACCUCAGGUCAUCAGCUGACCUCCAGAGACCAAUUUCAUGUUGGAGAUGUGUUUUUUGGUAUUACUUUACAAUUGUGACUCUGCUGAAUACAGUGUAGCUUUCUCUUCCCUAUCACACAUCCAUUGCUUGAGUUUCAGUCCUAUCUUAGUCCAUUUUGUGUUGCUAUAAAGGAAUACCUGACACUGGGCAUAAAGAAAAGAGAGUUUGUAAAGAAGAGAGGGUUCUUUAGCUCGCAGUUCUGCAGGCUGUACGACAAGCAUGGCCCUGGCAUGAACAUGGCAGAGAAGGUCAAAGGAGAAGUGAGGCCACGUGAAGAGAUACCAUACCCAGAGGGCUUCCUGGCUUUACGUAAUAAUAACUCAAUCUAAUCCCAUCUUGCCAGAGUGAGAAUAGCAGCACAGCACUAAAUCAUUCCUGCGGGAUCUACCCCCAUAGCUCAAACACCUUCCCCUAGGCCCCACCUUCUGAUACCACAGUGGGGAGUGAAUUUCAACAUAUUUGUGGAGACAAACAAAAAAAAAAAUAAACCAUAUCUAAACCAUAGAAAGCCCCGAACCAAAAGCAGAUCCCCAUUCAUGGUUCCGCUUCCCACAUGGUUCCAAAUGAGGAAGGCCAGAAUUUAUGUGUUCUGCUCAGAAAAAGGCUGAAAGUUUCUGAGAAACACAUCUUCAAAGGUUUGUCUCCUUUGGCACAUGGGAAUAUGUUAUUAAUCAGGACAGCAGCUUAUAGCUGCCGAGGGAUAUAUUGAAACAGCUCAUUAUAAGCAAAUUUUAAGUAGUAGAGAGGAUCAUUCCUGGGCACAUUUCAUAAGCAUUCUGUCUUGGUUUUACCCCAAUCUCUGCAUAUUCCUUUUUAGUCUUCAUUCCUGGGGCAGCUUCCUCUGGCCACCCCAUGAAACCUUGGCCCCUUCUCUUCCAUAUGCUGUCCAGGAGCCAUCUCCUCCUCUCUGCAUGCUGAGUUGAAGAUCCCAAGUUGCUAUCCUCGCUCCAAACUCCAAAUGCCUAUAUCCAGCUACCAAAAAGGCAUCUCUGAAUCUUCCUCACUUACCGCAAACAUAACAGGUAGGACACAGCUUCUUGCUUGUCCUCUGAGCUUCAGUGCUUGGUGUGGCAUCCUUCACACGGUUAGUGUCUAGGGCACAACCUGAACCUGAUUCUCCUUGAGAGGCACUAUCACUUGCCACUUGAUGCCAUAUGAAAAUGACGUGCCAUGUGAAUCCAAUGCCACGUUAAAAAAAAUUACAUUUUCUGUUUGUCUCCCUAGGAUAUUGUCAAUGCUUGGCACCAAGUGGGUGAUAAAUAAAUGUGAAGGACAGACCUGUGGAUUAAGCAUUCCUGAGACAUAGCCUGUUAUCUUUCUCAGAUGAGAUUCUGUGCCAUGUGGCUUAUCCUUAUAUUGGGUGGAUCAUGUAACUCUGAGGUUCAAAAAUUGGUUAUUGCUUCUAAACCUUGUAAAGUUACUUAUCUCAGGAACUAUUGAGCUUGGCAGUUGUCCACAUCAUGUGACAGUUCUGCUAUCACGUUCCCUUCCUUGCUUUCUUCCUCCCUCUCUCCCCAUCUUGCACAUUCCUAUCUGUGAGAGAAGAUGAGGAAAAACAGACAAGCAGACAAAUCCAUAUUUCUCUCACCAAUGAAAAAUAGCUUUUCCAUUCUGUUUUACCAUUGAAUGUGGUAUUUGCCCUCUGUGUCUCAAUUAAAACAGAUUAUUUGCUGCUUUGUUUCUUCCUUUUUUAAUCUUUUUCUUGUUUUAGAAAUGGUUCAUGUUAAUUAGAAAAGAAAAAUUCAGAAAUUAUAGAUAAGCCCGAAGGAAGAAAGAAAAUAUGUAACAACCUCCUGCUCAGAGAGUUUUAACUUUUGAAGUACCUACUUCUCUCUAUAUUUUUUUCUAUGUACAUAUUUUAACAGAAAUAGACAAUGUGUUUGCUGUGGGGAAACUUCUUUUCACUUAAUAGAUUGCGAAUAUUUUCUGUGACAGACAGUAUUCCUCUAGACCAGCGAUUGGAUGACUUUGUUUAAAGGGCUGCAUGGUUCUGUGGGACCUACUGUCUCAACUAAUCAACUCUGCUGUUAUAAUGCAGAAGCAGUCACAGAAAGUGUGUAAAUGAAUGGGCAUGCCUGUGUUCUAGUAAAAUUUUACAAAAACAGGCAACGAGCCACAUUUGGCCCAUGGGCUGGGCUAUAGUUUGGUUAUGCUUGUCUAGAGUUUAUUUAUUUAUUUAUUUAUUUUGAGACAGAGCCUUGCUCUGUCGCCCAGGCUGGAGUGCAGUGGCAUCAUCUGGGCUCACUGCAAUGUCCACCUCCUAGGUUCAAGUGAUUCUCCUGCCUUAGCCUCCUGAGUAGCUGGGACUGUAGGUCUGUACCACCAUGCUCAGCUACUUUAUUUGUAUUUUUAGAAUAGACAGAGUUUCGCCAUGUUGGCCAGGCUGGUCUCAAACUCCUGACCUCAGAUGAUCCUCCUGCCUCGGCCUCCCCAAGUGCUGGGAUUGCAGGUAUGAGCAACUGUGCCCCAUUAGAAUAUCAUCUUUAAUGCCUAAAUAGUGUUCUGUUUUUCUGAUAUUUUAUUAUUUACUAGACCAGUCUGAGUACUAGUUCACGUUGUUUGAGGCCUUACUGUGUGCUUGCAGCAUGGCUGGGUUUGUCUGCUUGCAUGCUCACUUACACCUGCACACAGCCCUGUGCAGUGUGGGUAUUAUUCUUUCCAUUUAACAGAGGAGGGAACUCAGAUAAAGAACAGGUAGGUAAUUUGCCCAGCAUUAGAUGGUUAGUAAAUAGAAACGUCAAAAUUUAAGUUUGUUUGAUUUUUAGAAGCCAGGCUCUUAACUACUCAUUGUGUUUAUAGGCACACUAGUAGCUAUUUGCUUGGAUAGAUUUCUAGAAUUAGAAUAAUGGGUGCAUUUUAAGGUUCUGGUAUUUGUUGUCAGGUUGAUAUAUAUGGCCAAGUCAUAUUUGUCGCAUGGUAUAAGGCAGGGCUGUGUUUCUACACCCUCAUCUAUAACAUGGACUCUCUUGACCCUUCGGUACUUUAAUACGGGAAACAAACUUCAUCGUUUUUAUCUUAUGCAUAUUUCUCCUCUAUAUUUCUUCUAAGGUGAGUGUCUCAUCCACGUUCUUUCCACGUUGUUCUAUAAGAGCGUUUUGUCUUCUCUAUUAAUUUCUUGGAGGCUUUUAUGUAAGGGACUUCUGUGGUAUAUCAGUCAAUGCUACAUAAUGUGUUAUGAACCUGGCCUUUUACUUUAAAGAAAUGUCUUUACAAUUGAAGAGAAUUAAACAGAAAAGUAUUUCUCUUUAACACAGCAUAGCUACACUCCUGGAAUUGAAAGAAUUCCCAGAAACGAUAAGGUUUAAGAGACAGCUUAUUCCUGUUGAGGAACUCGUCCCUUUAGUUUCCAUCUUUUAAGUACUAGAAUUUGUGUUCUUUAAUUGGAACUAUUACUUUGCUGUGGCCAUGGCAACACAUCUUAACUGCCAUGAACAGCACACACUUUGACAAAAUAUGUUUUUAGAGAAGCUUUUAGAUGGAAUUCAUUAUCCAAUGUAUUCAUGGCGUCUAGAUGAAUUAAUGGAUUGUAGACCCAUACUUUUAUAGUAAUAGUAAUAAUAGUGAAAUGAACAGUUACUAUCUAUGAUCCCUUACUGUAUUCCAGCCACGGUGCUGUGUUUCAUAUUAUUUCAUUUGAUCUUCAUGAUAAUCUUGUGUCGUAGAUAUUGUCGUUAUCCCUACUUUAUACAUAAAGAAAUUAACAGAAAAGUUAAGUGGCUUGCUCUGGCUUAUACAGCUGAUAAGUAGUUGGGUUUCACCUUGACCUUAAGCUUGAUUUUUCUACUGACUGAGUCUGACAGGUUUCUUACAGCCUUUAAGAUAUAUACUGAAAUCAACACUGGUAGCAUGGAUGGAAAAUCUUGAGGUCACUUAGAGUCCAAGAUGACACUGGCAUCAAUGGGUCACAGUGAAUCUGACCCAGAAUUUCGUAACUCAUUAUUAUGAAGAUCAGAGUUCUGAAGCUUAUUGGAUUAGAAGAGCACAAAGGGUGUCUGCCCCGAUAUAUUCUUUUUCUUUGUUUUUAAUAUAUAUAUGUUUACUGCACUUUAGGUUCUGGCGUACGUGUGCAGAACAUGCAGGAUUGUUGCUAGGUACAUACAUGGCAAUGUGGUUUGCUGCCUCCAUCCCCAUCACCUAUAUAUGGCAUUACUCCCCAUGUUAUCCCUCCCCAAUUCCCUACCCCUCACUGUACCUCCUCCAGGCGCCCCCCAACAGACCCCAGUGUGUGAUGCUCCCCUCCCUGUGUCCAUGUGUUCUCAUUGUUCAACUCCCACCUAUGAGUGAGAACAUGCGGUGUUUGAUUUUCUGUUCUUGUGUCAGUUUGCUGAGAAUGAUGGUUUCCAGAUUCAUCCAUGUCCCUACAAAGGAUAUGAACUCAUUGUUUUUUAUGGCUGCAUUUUAUUCCAUGGUGCUUGAGUACCAUCAAAUUGGUAGUGUCUCUGAUAGGGAAAAGGAAGAGUUGGAAGGCAUCUUAGGCUCUAGGACAGAAGAACUGUUUUUAUUGGCUACCAAAGUUACCCCCAGUUGCCUGCAAAUUUAUAUCCAAACUCAUCCUGCCAAUUCAGAGUUCUACAGACUGACCCCAAACUAUAGUUUAGUCUUUUAUCACAUGACUGCACUGUACACACUCAGUUCUCUGGGCAAACAGACCUGAUCCAAACACAGUUUAUACUUUUCCUUUUCUUUCCUUUGUGUCUUGGAGUGUCUUUGAUUUCUCCAACCCCAGUCUCCCUCUGUUAGAAUUCUGGACCUCUCUCAAUACCAAGGUUAAGUACUACCUAACAAAGAAGUUUUGAUGCUUAUAGACAAAAGCAAUUUCUCUCCUCUUAUUUGAUUUUUAUGGUUAUUUAUAGCACUCUCAGGUCAAUCAUAACCUUCUUACUUGUAGGAUAGCUUUUUAUACAGUUGUCUUUUUCCUCCCGUUCUAUUGGAAGGCCCUUGAGAAGUGAGAUCUACUUCAUUUUCAUAUUCCCUGUAGGACUUGCAUGAUUCCUCGAAUACAGCAUUUUUCCACAGGUAAACGGUGACAUGCCUUAAUCUUAUUCUUAGGGAUUCUGACUCUGAAAGACGUGAAACCACUGUUCAGAGUCUCGUUGUGGAUUGAAUUUUGUCCCCCUGCACACAGUCUAUAUGUUGACAUCCUAUCCCCCCGUGUCUCAGAAUGUGACAUUGUUUUGAAAUACAGUUGUUGCAGAUGUGAUUAGUAAAGAUGAUAUCAUGCCGAAGCAGGGUGGACUCCUCCUCCAGUUUGACUGGUGUCACGCUGGAAAUUUGGGCACACACAGGGAGAACAGGGAUGCUGCCACAAGCCAAGGAACUGGCAGAAGGUAGAAGAGAGGCCCGAACGGACCCUUCCCCAGAGCCUUCAGAGUGGGCAUGGGCCUGCCAAUGCCCAGAUCCCAGCUUCUACCCUCCAGAGUGUGGGCCAACACAGUUCUAUUGCUUAUGCCACUCAGUUGGUGGUGCUUUGUUACAGUGGCCCCAGGAGAGUACCACAAGCCUGGGAAUCACCGUCCUUGCAACUAGCAAGAUGGUAUGUUUUAGAUGACCCUGUCCUAUGUGGGACUGGGGGCUGAGGCAGGGUGGCCUGAUAACAGAGUCACCAAAGAGCCAUCUCUUAUCUGUAUGCCUGAGUAGUCAAGGCCUUCUCGUCUUCAGCACCAGCAAUUCAGCAUUUCAAAAUGGAAUGCCCCGUCUUUCCUCUCCAAACCCCUUCUCCCUCAUAGGCCCAUCUAAACUAUUGUUAUGGUGUUCCUCUCAGUCCCUCUAUAAUUCUUCCCUUUUCUCAUCCCCAAUUAAAAAAAAAAUCUGGAAUUAUGCCUUCUUCUGGAUAGAUAAGAUCUGGCAGCACCAGGCCCUUGUUACUGCAUGGCCAUAAUUGGCAAGACUGAUGGGCUGGCCCUGAACAUAGAGGAUGUGUCCUCGGUCCUGCUUGACGUCACAUGCCAGACCCUGUGGGCAUUGGAGCCUGGCCCCUGGCAGGGUGGAAGUGAUUGCCUCUCUCUCAGAGGAACAUAAGUGGAAAGCCUAAGAUCAUUCUUGAGUCAAGCUGCCCAGUUUAUGUCCUGCUGUGUCACUUACUGGCUGAGGGCAGCCACGGGGAGAUUCCUUAAUCUCCCUGGGCUUCCGUUUCCUAUUCUGCAAAUGGAGAUAAUAAUGGUGCUCACCUCAUAGGGGUGUUGAGAGAAUGAAAUGAUUUAAUGCGUAUCAGGAGAUUAGACCCUGACGCACAGCAGUUGCACCAGGAAUGUUCACUUGUAUUCUUAUGUAGUCAAAAAAUCCUGUCACCCUUUAUCUAAACUGCUUUAUUAUUUUUCCCAAAGCAGAGCAUAUUUACUUCUUGUGUUUUUGUUUCUCUCCAUCAGGCACCAGCUUCAUACACAUUAAGAAAAUGUGGCUGUAAUUUAUACACAGAGAUUCAGAGCUGGGCUAGCAGGGAGUCUGGACAAAGCUCCCAGGAUCUCACUUGGUGGAGCUCCUGGGCCUCUCCUGGCUGCCGAGUGCUUUCUACCUUCUGUGUUAUUUCAGUUCCAGUGACCAAGGGCACAGCUUGGUGACUGGCCUCCCGAGGCCUUCCGAGUCGCCAGGGGAUCCCUCUAAUUAGGUACAGUGUUGAGCAUGCAGGUAUUUAUCCUGCAGUCAAGAAGGGCUGCUGGAACAGCUGCUUACCAUGAAAUCCAGGGAGCAAGUCAGGUGUUAGUUAGAAGCAUGUUCCUUGUGAUCUGAGACGCUGACAAACCCCAGACAAGCCGACAGUGAGGACCUCCACACACCAGUUGUUUCCCCCAGUUGUAUUCCCCUUACUGGGCCACUCCUAAGCAGUGCUGAAGACUUCUUUAGCUAAUAUUUGUUGACUGAGUUUUUAUUGAUCAAAAGAAAUUUAUUAAGUAAAUAGAGCAUCGUUCAGACAUGAUGGCAUCAGAUCCAUUUCUUCCUGGGCAUCAGAUCCAUUAGUAGAUGUCAGUGAUAAAUGAAGUGCUAGGACACAGUCCUGCCUGUAAGAGGUGUGUAGUCUAGUCAUUGGGAGAGACCUCUGACCAGCAAUGGGUGGAGCUGGGGGAACACAGGUGUUAUUUAUGGGAUCCGGGAAAGGCAAGAUCUUGACUCAGCCUGAGGCUGGGAAAACUGAAACCUAAAUAAACAGGACAUAUUUUCACUUUUCCUGGCUAAAUGACUCUCUGGUUUUAAUUUCCUCAUCUGUAAAAAGAACUUAUGGUUGGGAGGCUGAGGCAGGCGGAUCAUGAAGUCAAGAGUUCAAGAGCAGCCUGGCCAACAUGGUGAAACCCCGUUUCUACUAAAAAUACAAAAAUUAGCUGUGGCACAUGCCUGUAAUCUCAGCUAUUAGGGAGGCUGAGGCAGGAGAAUUGCUUGAAUUCUACUGGGGAAUCAUCAGUUUUGCCAUUAUUGAUCUAAUAUCUAGUAAAAUUGGGCAUUUUCAGGACAGGGACUGUGACUGUCUUUUCAUUGCUCUAUGUCUGGACCUAGCCUAGUGGUUGACAUAUAACAGAGGGUCAAUAAACAUUUGAUGAGUAAGGGAAUUAAGUGAUAUCUAAGCUGAGAACUGAAGGAUGAGGAGUCUGCCAGUAGGAAAGUGUAGGAGGUAGGGGGUGGCAGUAGGAAGUAAAAUGGUGAUGAAGGAUGACACUGGGAGGGAGGAGCAUGUGCUCCUUGGGGGUGACAAGAAUUGCAGUUCUGGGAAAUGUUAGCUCAUAUGGUGGGUGUCAUGGAGCCAUUUCAAGGUGGGGGCCUGGGCAGAGCUGAAUGGUGAGAAAAACAGAGUUCGUAGUUUUUAACGUGAUGAAGUUUGAUAUGAUUGGUCUGAGUUGCAGGAAAUGGAUUAGAGAGGACAGAGUGGAAGAGGAGAGGCCAUUCGAUGGCUACUGCAGUGUUAGACAUAGUGAACUCCACAUUUCUCUUCAAAGAAUCUGGAUGUCAGUAUGUUCGGUUCUUUGUCCUCCAUUUUAAAGUUUAACUUCCUUGUAGUUUCAGUAAACAACAUUUUCCACCAGUUCUAAUCAGUAGUUCACAUCCAUUCCCCCAGUCCCCUGCUUCGUCCUGACUCAUCCCAGUCACCUGCUUCGGUCACCUGCCUUGACUUAGGUCACCCCUGGCUACCUGCUCUGACCUGUCCCAUAACCGUCCUUCCCACCAAACUACCCACCCCACCACUCUGGCUCAAACCCCUGCUUCCCUUAAAACAGCCAACUGGAAUUAUACUAGACUGUAGGUAAGGUCUAAUGCUAGCCAAUAGGGAAACGACACAGCAGUAGGGGCUACCUCUGUGAGGAAUCAGAACGCCCUCCCCCUCCCUUGUUCAGGCGUGCACUUGCCAGUUUCAUCUGUCAACCGUACCCUUCUAUAGAAGUAAAUUGCCUUGCUGAGGAAAUUUAUAUUCCAGUGCUACUUCUUUUGCAGCACUGAAUAUUUACAUACAACAGCAGCAAUUUUGAUGAGAGAUGGUGGUAGCAGGACAAAUUAUCCCUGAGAUGGAGAGGUGGCUAGAUUCAGAAGCAACUAGAUAUGCAGAAUUGUCAGAACCUGGCAAUUAAAUGUCUAUGGGGAAGGAAGGAGAGAUGUCUGAAUGAUGCCCAGGCCUCCAGGGGAUGUAGACACCACUUAGUCAUGUGGUAAAUCAGAUGAGACAAGGAGCUGUGGGAAGGUUAAAUUCUCAUUUGUACAUGGUGAGUUCGAGAUGCCUGUGGGAAGUCCAGAGGGCAGUUGCUACAGCAGUCUUCACCUCGGGAGAGUGAUCAGGUUUGGGCACUCAUUGGCAUAGAGGGUCAGGGCUUCAUAGCCUAGAAGAACACAGAUAAAAUUAAGAAGCCUUAUAAAUUUCAGAAAGUAUAUUAAAAUCAUAAUGCAUGUGCAUUGUUCUGGAGAGAUAGCUUUGUAUCAACUUUUUAAAAUGCUCAUGUCGGCCGGGUGCGGUGGCUCACGCCUAUAAUCCCAGCACUUUGGGAGGCCGAGGCAGGUGGAUCACGAAGUCAAGACAUCGAGACCAUCCUGGUCAACAUGGUGAAACCCCGUCUCUACUAGAAAUACAAAAAAUUAGCUGGGCAUGGUGGCGCAUGCUGGUAAUCCCAGCUACUCAGGAGGCUGAGGCAGGGGAAUUGCCUGAACCCAGGAGGCGGAGGUUGCAGUGAGCCGAGAUUGCGCCAUUGCACUCCAGCCUGGGUAACAAGAGCGAAACUCUGUCUAAAAAAGAAAAAUGCUCAUGUCCUCAAACAGGUUAACCUUUGGUGCAUAUGGUUACUGAAGCCAGGAGAGAGGAGAUUUUUCAGGCAGUGAGAAGGGAAGAGAGCCAGGGAUUCUGCUGUGAAAAGCAUCAGCAUUUCAAGGGUUGGAGGCACUGUGCUGAGUCAGAGGCCGGGGGUCAGAGUAUUGGGAAUGAGAUAAAGACUUAUAGAUAGCAAUAGCUUUACUGCUCAUAAAGCA